rnacentral:lncRNA from 10 species
AAAUUACUUUUUUUCAAGAAUGAGUUCAUGUCCUUUGCAGGGACAUGGAUGAAGCUGGAAGGCACCAUUCUCAGCAAACUAACACAGGAACAGAAAACCAAACACCGCAUGUUUUCACUCAUAAAUAAUACAUGAAGCCGGGCACAGUGGCUCACACCUGUAAUCCCAGCACUUUGGAAGGCCGAGGCGGGCAGAUCACCUGAGGUUAGAGAAAACAUCCUGAAUGCCACUGUGAACACUCUUAUUGACUUCUCUCAGAUUUUCUCAUUGUUACAUAAAGGGAUGUAUUGUUACAUGAAGUUCUUUCAGCCUUCGUUAAAACUCUCUAGAAGCAUUCUGUAUUAGGACUACAAUCAGCAGUCAUGGUUUGUAUGCUUCAUAAUCAUUUCACUGGGUUUACUUUUCAAUAUCCCUAGGGUAUUAAUCUUUUGAAAACUCACUUGCAGUGGAGAUGAUUCCAUUGUAAAAUGUUUCUUCAUUCCCAAUAGCACAAUAUAGUAAGUAGUAGGUCUAUUUUCAUGCUGUAUCAACUAAUUUGCAAUCAUAGCAGAUCUUAAGAUUUCUU